rnacentral:rRNA from 1 species
GACGAACGCUGGCGGCGUGCCUAAUACAUGCAAGUAGACCUGAGUUGCGAACGGGUGAGUAACGCGUAGGAACCGGCCUCAUAGCGGGGGAUAACUCUGGGAACCGAUAGCUAAAACCGCAUACUGUGAGAUGGACCUGCGUUGUAUUAGCUAGUUGGUGGGUUAACGGCCUACCAAGGCGACGAUCCGUAGCUGGUCUGAGAGGAUGAUCAGGCACACUGGAACUGAGACACGGUCCAGACUCCUACGGGAGGCAGCAGUGGGGAAUAUUGGACAAUGGGCGAAAGCCUGAUCCAGCCAUGCCGCGUGUGUGAAGAAGGUCUUCGGAUUGUAAAGCACUUUAAGUUGGGAGGCGUUACCAACAGAAUAAGCACCGGCUAACUCCGUGCCAGCAGCCGCGGUAAUUC